GAUGAACGCUGGCGGCGUGCCUAAUACAUGCAAGUCGAGCGAACGGACGAGAAGCUUGCUUCUCUGAUGUUAGCGGCGGACGGGUGAGUAACACGUGGAUAACCUACCUAUAAGACUGGGAUAACUUCGGGAAACCGUAGCUAAUACCGGAUAAUAUUUUGAACCGCGUGGUUCAAAAGUGAAAGACGGUCUUGCUGUCACUUAUAGAUGGAUCCGCGCUGCAUUAGCUAGUUGGUAAGGUAACGGCUUACCAAGGCAACGAUGCAUAGCCGACCUGAGAGGGUGAUCGGCCACACUGGAACUGAGACACGGUCCAGACUCCUACGGGAGGCAGCAGUAGGGAAUCUUCCGCAAUGGGCGAAAGCCUGACGGAGCAACGCCGCGUGAGUGAUGAAGGUCUUCGGAUUGUAAAACUCUGUUAUUAGGGAAGAACAUAUGUGUAAGUAACUGUGCACAUCUUGACGGUACCUAAUCAGAAAGCCACGGCUAACUACGUG
rnacentral:rRNA from 1 species